UCCGGGAGCGCGUGCACGGAAAAAGCGAAGCCGGCCAAGGAGCAGGUCCUUGGAGUUGGCAGUCGCUGUGAGGGCUUCGAUCUCCGUCACUACCAGUGGGCCUUGGGGAUACAGAGGGUACCCCAGCAAGAUUGCCAGUCCCAACCAAAGAAGCCAACACGGUCUUCCAGGCAGAUUUCGAGACCUCUUCCUCUCAACUGAGAUCAGAUCAGAUGGGAUGGUGUUUUUGUUGAGAGUCGUAUCCAAUACACCGUUAAACAACUGAUUGGAGUAUGUGUGUUAAUAAUGGCAUACUCUGGAAUGGCGCGCCCUGACGGCGGCGGGAGUCUGUAAUCCCUCUCUUGGCUGUGGCCCACGCGGCUCGCACGCUCUGUGGGGCAACAUGGCGGACAUGGAAGUAUUUAUUUUGCCGAAGAAGCAUAAGAAGAAAAAAGGGCUGAAGUCAUUACCAGAAGAAGAUGUAGCAGAAAUACAACAUGGUGAAGAAUUUCUUAUCAAACCUGAAUCCAAAGUGGCUCAGUUGGACACAUCUCAGUGGCCCCUGUUGCUAAAGAAUUUUGAUAAGCUAAAUGUGAGGACGACACACUAUACACCUCUUCCUUGUGGUUCAAGUCCUCUGAAGAGGGAGAUUGGGGAUUAUAUCAGGACAGGUUUCAUUAAUCUUGACAAGCCCUCCAACCCCUCUUCCCAUGAGGUGGUAGCAUGGAUCCGACGGAUACUUCGAGUGGAGAAGACAGGACACAGUGGUACUCUAGAUCCCAAGGUGACUGGCUGUUUAAUCGUGUGCAUAGAACGAGCCACUCGCUUGGUAAAAUCACAGCAGAGCGCAGGCAAAGAGUAUGUGGGAAUUGUCCGGCUACACAAUGCUAUUGAAGGGGGCACUCAACUUUUUAGGGCCCUAGAAACUCUGACAGGUGCCUUAUUCCAGCGACCCCCACUUAUUGCUGCAGUAAAGAGGCAACUCCGAGUGCGGACCAUCUACGAGAGCAAAAUGAUUGAGUACGAUCCCGAAAGAAGAUUAGGAAUCUUUUGGGUGAGUUGUGAGGCUGGCACCUACAUUCGGACGCUGUGUGUGCACCUUGGUUUAUUACUGGGAGUUGGCGGUCAGAUGCAGGAACUUCGGAGAAUUCGUUCUGGAGUCAUGAGCGAAAAGGACCACAUGGUGACGAUGCAUGAUGUGCUUGAUGCUCAGUGGCUGUACGACAACCACAAGGAUGAGAGUUACCUGCGGCGAGUUGUGUACCCUUUGGAAAAGCUGUUGACAUCUCAUAAACGGCUGGUCAUGAAAGACAGUGCAGUGAAUGCAAUCUGCUACGGGGCGAAGAUCAUGCUUCCGGGUGUUCUUCGAUACGAGGACGGCAUUGAAGUAAAUCAGGAGAUUGUGGUCAUCACCACCAAAGGGGAGGCGAUCUGCACAGCUGUUGCAUUAAUGACCACAGCAGUCAUCUCUACCUGCGACCAUGGGGUCGUAGCCAAGAUCAAGAGAGUGAUCAUGGAGAGAGACACUUACCCUCGGAAGUGGGGCUUAGGUCCCAAGGCAAGUCAGAAGAGGCUGAUGAUCAAGCAGGGCCUUCUGGAUAAGCACGGCAAGCCCACGGCCAGUACACCUGCCACCUGGACGCAGGAGUAUGUCGACUACAGUGAUGUGAAGAAAGAGGUGCCGCCUGAAACCAUGAAAGCCGAGAAGUGGAGGCGACAGAGUGAGAGUGACGAGACCUCCCCAGCAUCCCCAGCGUCCCCAGCGUCUCCACAGUUGGUCAAGAAGGGGAAGAAGAAGAAGGCCAAGAAGGCCAAAGCUGCUGAGGAGAGCGCGGGCGAGCCAGGAGAUGGCGACGCGGACGGUGACACCACCAAGAAGAAGAAGAAGAAGAAAAUAAAAGUGGACGUGCUUUCUGGGUAGUGGAGAUCACUGUAAGCACCGUGCAGCUGGGAGGAGAAAUGAAAGCCUGAUUGAGAAAACAGUUCCUUUUGUUGUUGAGGGAAUGGAACAUAGGUCCCAGAAAGGGUGGAGUUACGGCACACUUGAGCUGCUACCCGAGAUCUCAGUGAUGUUCACUGGUGUGGUCAUCUCAUCCUGUCCUGUUUUAAGGAUAUGGGUGCAGGAGGCACAUUUGACACCGCCCACUUUCCUGCUUGGGAGCGUCCGGAAGCCUUGCCUUCAGACGCAGCGCUGUCCAGUAACCAUGUACAGCUGUUUCCUGAUGGCUGUUUUAACAUCAUCGUCCUUUACGCAUUUGCUUCUGUCACCCUCCCACCUGCCCCCACCCAUUUAAAAGUUUGUAAAAAUUGCGUAGUGAAAUGGUGUAGAGUAAAAGAAUAUAACUGAACCAUGUUCACUGGGUGGAUAAGUCUGCAGUCCUAAGGGCAGUGGUCUAUUCUGGUGUCUCCCCCUUCCAGGUAAAGGCCUGGCAAGGACUCAAGGUCUUCCAUCUUGGCCAUUUCCAGGCCCUCUGGCCUAGCAGUCGGUGGUGCACUUACUCAGAGCUUGGGUACAGCCUCCGCACCUACAUCCAUCUGGCUACUUGUGUGACAGAAGCUUGUGUUCUCUUGUUUCAACCCUCAUUUUCUUUCAAAGUAUACGAUCACUCAUUGCUAGGAAGAGGUGGUUGUAAUUUUUACUUAUUAAAAGUUUACUUAUGUUUUUGAAGUAAAAAAAAAAAUAAUGGCAUACUCUGGGCACGGAAGAAUGGCAUCAAGGAAGGCAUCUCCCAGAACAUAUGGCAUGCUUGGGAUUUUGAAAAAUUAAUAGGAGAUUUCUAGAAUGGCAAGAUGAGGAAAGUCAUUCCAGCUACAGGGAACAGGGCAGAGCUGUGAAAGACAGGGGUGUCCCCAAGGAGCUCCACAGAGUGGUUCACUGAGUGCUGACUUUGUGGUGGGCAUGCGUCCAUGAGUUUAAAUGUGUAAAUCAUCUAAUCGUCAGAAUAAUCCUGCCAGGUCGAUCCUAUUAUAAUCCCCACUUCACAGGUGAGAAAACUGAGGCAGAAAGGUGUUAAGUUGCCUGAGGUUACAACGCUAAUAAGUAAUGGAGUUCGAAUGUAAACACGGGCCACCUAGUUCCCCAGUUUCCAUUCCCCCCACUUCACUAUUUCACUCCUCAAAACAGUUGCUGUUACUGGAGGAUAAAUUCAGGAUUAAGUAGGACUCCUUCAUAGGAGGGCCAGGAGCUGUGGCUGGAAGUUGGCAAAAAGUCAGAUGGUGGAGGACCUUG